UUUGAAGAAGAAGAAGAGGGUUUCAUGAGUACUAAAGACGAAGCGCUUAGCAUCCUCUAUCAACUCAAAUUAUCCGAACAAGGAUUGAAGUCACUCAUCAUGAGUGGAAAUGGAGAAUUCAUUGAGUCAUUGACACAUGUCAUGCAACAUGGGAGCUAUGAGUCUAGGGCUUACGCGGUUAUGCUAAUGAAAGACAUGUUUGAAGUAUCCACACCAACUUUACUUUUGAGUUUGAAACAAGAAUUCUUCACACAAGUUGUUCAAGUCUUGAGGGAUGAGAUCUCUCAAAAGGCUACAAAAGCAUCAUUGCAAGUGCUAGUGCACGCGUGUCCAUUUGGUAGGAACAGAGUGAAAGCAGCAGAAGCAGGAGCAAUUAGGGUUUUGGUUGAUCUUCUGCUCGAUUCAUCUGAGAAAAGGGUUUGUGAAUUGAUGCUAAUUUUACUAGAUCAACUUUGUCUGAGCGCAGAAGGGAGAGCUGAGCUAUUGAAUCAUCCUGGAGGAUUAGCCAUUGUGUCCAAGAAAAUACUUAGGGUUUCAAAAGUAGGGAGUGAAAGGGCAAUCAAGAUCUUACAUUCAAUCUCAAAGUUUUCAUCAACACCAAGUGUUGUUCAAGAGAUGUUGAGUUUGGGUGUGGUGGCAAAGCUUUGUUUGGUGCUUCAAGUUGAUUGUGGAAGUAAAUCUAAGGAAAGAGCUAGAGAAAUUCUCAAAUUUCAUGCUAAGGCAUGGAGUAAUUCUCCUUGUAUACCUAAUAAUUUACUAUCUUCAUAUCCAUUUUAGGAAUUAGGUAGAAAUGAGCAAAAAUUGCUUAGUAGUGGAUUGUUUUUGUGUACAUAAUUUAUUCUUUUCAGAAAAUAGAAAAAAAAAUGGACAAAAUGGUCCAUGAAAUUUAAUUGUUCAUACAUAUUUCCAUCCUCAACAUUUUGAUUCCCUUCUUAUUUUGUAGCUCCAAUAGCAAGUAUAGAGUGGAAAUUUUUGAGAUCUUAAUGCUCUAUUAUUUCAGUAAGAAGUCCAUUGAAUCCCAAAUUCGCGUGAGGUCCAACGAAGGAUAUCAGUUUAAUGGGAUAAUGAAGACAGUCUAUCCUAAUACAAAUAUAAUCAUUAGUAAUAAAUUUAUAAUCCAACCCGUAAACUAUAAAUACACAAAGAUAAUUUUAGCGUUAUUCCAGAACGUAACUCCCAUUCAUAGUAAAUAUUACGAAUACUAUAUACAUAGUCAAGAAUUAGUAUUAUGUGUCUUUGCACACAGGAUUAAAUUUGAAAUCAUUAUUUUUGAGAAAAUUCUUUAAUUUGGUGAGAACCAGGUAUUAGACUUUUCAUCAUCUAAAAAUUUACAAUAACAUUCAAAAUAAUCAGCUCUUAUUAAUUAUUUGAACUUUACUAGAAGUUAAAAUUUUGUGAUUGUGAUAUGAGUGCAACUAGUCCCAAUGAAAGAAACAAGUAGUAAUAAUUAGAUGAACUUUGAAGAUUGUUGGACUUCAAAUCUAAGCCAAUAAUAUGAUGAUUUUGAAUUUUUCAUAAAUUUCAAAGAAUAAUAUAAAAGAAUGUGUCAUCUUAUAAGUAAUCUCUAAUAGAUUGUUUUUUUUUUAACCCGGAGAGAGAAUUUACGAUUGGGAUAGACAUGCUAAUUUCGGUAGAUAGACACUAAAAUUUAUAUUAAACAGGUAGACAGACACAUCAUACGUGACAUAAUAUAAAUAAGUUCGAAUAUAUCUUACACGAAUUGCCACUAAAAUGAGUUGUCUACUUGUUCAACUUUAUAUAAGUUCAAGUGUCUAUUUGUGUACACAUAAAAUUGAAAGGCAUAAAAUAUCACCUGAGGUCAAGUUAGAUGGGUAUAUCUAUGUAUUAUACAUAUCUUGAUUAUUAUACAAGAAAAAAAUUGUGUUCUUGCAUUGUUAAUGUUUAUUCUAUUGCAAAACUAUCUAAUUAUACAAAUAUUUCAAUUAAAUUUACCAAGUCUUCUUACAAUUUGAAAAAAUUGUAUAUUGUCUCACUAAUUAAUAAUGUCAUAUUAGAUUUCAAGUCAAAUUUAUUUAAAUACAUGUAUUUUUAAUUGCUACCAGAUACAGAUACACUAAAAUAGGGAGAGAGGUGAGUGAGAGAAGGAGAGAGGUGAGAGCGAGAUAGGAGGGAGGCGAGCUAAACAAUAUAUGUAUCCUAGAUAUAUGUGAAUCACAAUAGAUACAUGUAUCUAGGAUACCCAGAUACAUAUUAAAAUCCAAAUACAUAGGAAGAGAGGAUAGCGAGAAAGGGAGAGAAGCAAGUGAGAUAGGAGAGAAGGAGCGAGAUAGGAGAGAUGCGAGAGAGUCAGACGAUAUAUGUGAAUCCACUUGAAUACAAUGUAUCUACAACAAAUUACUCCUAAUUUUGACCUAAUGUAUCUAGACACGUAAGAUACAUGUUCGAAGUUCAAAUUCUGAUAAGAUUCGUCAUAUUAAAAUCUUGUAUAAAAGAAAACAAUUUACUCUUAAACUAGUGUAAUUUGUGUUAAUUGGCCUUAUUCUAUUUAUACAUAGGCUUAGAUUAACUUGAAUAGGCAAGCAAAUAUGACGGAAUAUUGCAAGCAAUAUUAAACUAGAUAAAUUAAAAGGUUGAAUCAAUUAAAAAAAUACAAGGUGAUUGUUAGAUAUAGCUAUAACUCUAAAUUGAUUUGAGCUAAUUAUUUAUUUUUAAAAAUUACAUAAAUUGAAACCUAGUAAUCUAGUUGUUGCCAACUGUUUCUUUCUCUCACUAAUAAAUAAAACACGAGUUAUUUAUAAAUAAAAAGGAUACAUUCAUGUGUUUUAUUACUUUUAGAGAGAGAAAGUCAAAAGUGAGCUGUUUUUUUCUUCUUACGUACACACAUUUAGGCCACCGAAAAUACACAUAAUAGACUACCCCUUUUGAGCUAGUAAUGUUUCCUUCGUUUUAUUUUACUUGAUCUGUAUGUUAAAAAUUGAUAUUUUAUAUCUAUCUAACAAUUAAUAAAAUUUAUUACAUAAAAUAGAAACUGAUAAAUUUAAAAUUUCAAAAAAUAAUUAAUCAAGUUAGUUUAUAUGGCUACAACUUUGAUUAAAAAAAUUUCAAGGCGGGUGUUAGUUCAACUAGGAUCAAAUAAUAUAAAACGGAGAGAGUAUUUAUUAAAGCGCUAAGCAAUUAUUCCUUUUAAAUUCUCCUUUCGUUAUUUUUUUUACUUAUUCACUAAAUUAAACAAUAUAUUUUACUUGUUAGCAUAUCAUACUCUAUGCUUAACAUGAAAUACUUAUUUUUCAAAACUUAAAACCAGACAUAAAUUAACAUAUUGUUUUUAUCAAGGAUAGAUAUAGUCUAAACUGAACAAGUAAAAAGUAAUGGAUGAGUAUUUAAAUAGUAUAAUUAAUAAAUACCCUUUGAAAAGUCUUAUUCUUCUAUUUGCGUGUUGACUUUGAAAAGCUCAAUCUACAAAUCAUAUAUAAGCACAACCAAAUCCUCUAUUUUUUCAAACCAAUUCACUACUCAUCUAAAGUUUCAACGAAUCAAAGUUUCCUCUUUUUUUUUGGUCAUAUUUGUAACUUUCCUAUAAGGAUUGAUCUCCUUCUUAGAUUAAUCUUGAAAAUUUCCAAAAUAUACAAAUGGAAGAAAUUCAAGUACCUUCUUAUUUUAUUUGCCCCAUUUCACUUGAGAUGAUGAAAGAUCCUGUUACGAUCUCUACAGGAAUAACAUAUGAUCGAGAAAACAUUGAAAAAUGGGUAUUCUCUGAAAAGAACAACACUUGUCCGGCUACGAAACAGUCUCUUACAUGCAUAGAGUUGACCCCAAAUGUUACUCUUCGACGAUUAAUCCAAUCGUGGUGUACUAUCAAUGCGUCUCAUGGUAUUGAAAGGUUCCCUACACCAAAGCCUCCGGUAAGCAAACCACAAAUCAUAAAGCUCCUAAAAGAAGCGAAAUCGCCUAAAUUGCAAAUGAAAUCUCUCAAGAGACUCAGAUCCAUAGCUUCUGAGAAUGAUGCUAACAAACAUUGCAUGGAAUCUGCUGGGGCAAUGGAGUUUUUAGCUUCUAUUAUUAAUAAUAAUAAUUCGAAUGAAGUGUUUGAAGAAGAAGAAGAGGGUUUCAUGAGUACUAAAGACGAAGCGCUUAGCAUCCUCUAUCAACUCAAAUUAUCCGAACAAGGAUUGAAGUCACUCAUCAUGAGUGGAAAUGGAGAAUUCAUUGAGUCAUUGACACGUGUCAUGCAACAUGGGAGCUAUGAGUCUAGGGCUUACGCGGUUAUGCUAAUGAAAGACAUGUUUGAAGUAUCCACACCAACUUUACUUUUGAGUUUGAAACAAGAAUUCUUCACACAAGUUGUUCAAGUCUUGAGGGAUGAGAUCUCUCAAAAGGCUACAAAAGCAUCAUUGCAAGUGCUAGUGCACGCGUGUCCAUUUGGUAGGAACAGAGUGAAAGCAGCAGAAGCAGGAGCAAUUAGGGUUUUGGUUGAUCUUCUGCUCGAUUCAUCUGAGAAAAGGGUUUGUGAAUUGAUGCUAAUUUUACUAGAUCAACUUUGUCUGAGCGCAGAAGGGAGAGCUGAGCUAUUGAAUCAUCCUGGAGGAUUAGCCAUUGUGUCCAAGAAAAUACUUAGGGUUUCAAAAGUAGGGAGUGAAAGGGCAAUCAAGAUCUUACAUUCAAUCUCAAAGUUUUCAUCAACACCAAGUGUUGUUCAAGAGAUGUUGAGUUUGGGUGUGGUGGCAAAGCUUUGUUUGGUGCUUCAAGUUGAUUGUGGAAGUAAAUCUAAGGAAAGAGCUAGAGAAAUUCUCAAAUUUCAUGCUAAGGCAUGGAGUAAUUCUCCUUGUAUACCUAAUAAUUUACUAUCUUCAUAUCCAUUUUAGGAAUUAGGUAGAAAUGAUCAAAAAUUGCUUACUAGUGGAUUGUUUUUGUGUACAUAAUUUAUUCUUUUCAGAAAAUAGAAAAAAAAUGGACAAAAUGGUCCAUGAAAUUUAAUUGUUCAUAUAUAUCCAUCUUCAACAUUUUGAUUCCCUUUUAUUUUUGAGAGCUUAAUGCUCUAUUAUUUCAGUAAGAAGUCUAUGAUAGACAUUUUAUUUGUCACUUUUUUUUUUUUGAAAUUUAAUCUACAUAAACUAUGAUAGACAUUUAUUAUCAUACAUCUCAAAUUAUUUGUCAACUAUUUUUUUUAAAAAUUAAUCUACAUAAACUAUGAUAGACAUUUAUUAUCAUCAUAUGAAUAUGAAAAGAAUUGAAUCUUGUAGUAAUACUUUUUUUGUCUUAUUACUCCCUUUUCCAACAAUAGUUGUCCACUAUUGACUUGAGAUAGUGAUUAAGAAAUAGUAAAUGAUAGAGGUAAUUUUAGCAAAUCACCCCUAUUAAAUAUAAAUUAUCUAAAUAUAAAAAUGAAUAGUAUUUAAUAGCAAAGGUAAAAUAGAUAUAAAUGAUAAAUUAUAUUAUAAUGAUUUUAUAAACUGAACAAAUAUUGUUGGACAUUCAAAAAUAGUAUAAUAAACAAAUAAUGACGAAGGGAGUGAGUAUUGAAAAAUAAAAUUCAAUAGAAUAUAAUCUAACUAUUGUUGGAAAAAAUAUAUUCUUAUUCAUUAUCAAUGAUUUUUCUUAAUUUGCUAUAAUAGUCCUUUAGCUGUUGAAGGUUUUGACUACUUUAUUGUAUGAUAUUUUUCCAUAUAUAUAUAUCCUGAGAAUAAUGUUUUUCUUUUACAGUAAAGAACAUUAAAAAAAAUUCUGAUUCUCCCUUUUUUUUGUUGGGAUAUCCACUUUUUAAAAAAAUUGUAAUUUUUAGAGUUCCUAAUUUAAUUUUAUAUUAGAAGAGCUUGUUGAAUUCUGGCGAUACACUUAAAUCCGGUGAAAUAUUUUGAAGAACAAUGUCAAUAGGCAUGCCUCAAUAGCUUCGAAAAUUUCUGUGGUUUUCCAACAACUAUUAAUUUCGAUAAUUCUUUAAGCUCCAAGAAUUUCCAUGAUUUUGCAAUAUUUUCAAUAAAUAUUAAUUUCGAUAAUACUUCAAGCUUAGAGAAUUUCCAUGAUAUUUAAAUAUUUUCCAAUAACUAUUAAUUUUGAUAGUUCUUCAAACUUCAAUUUUUUUAGAUAUUUUGUAACAUCUCGCACUUAGAAACGACUAUAAAGAGUUUAAAAAUAUGAAAAUAUUGAUUUUUGGAAAGGAUAAGAAAAUCUGGAAUUUUUUGUCUAAGUUAAGAAGUGAGUUUUGGCCUUUUUCAAACGGCCAUAACUCCUAGUUCAAGAUGAGUUAGGAGCAGAUCUGGAUAUUGUUGGAAACCUCUUGGAAUAAUCUUUCCAACGCCGCCGAGUUUGCGCGAUUCCGAGUUUGUAUGAGUAAGUUAUUCCCUUUGGAAGUUGGGUUAUUGGAUUAAGGAAAGUCCAAAUCCGGAUUUGUGAGGGGUAAACUAGUCUUUUCCUUACCUAAUUUGCCUAUUUCGUUUUUAGAAAUUAAUUGGGGUAAAACAAGACUUUAUUCAGUUUUAAAAAAAUUAGAUUUUACACUAGGGCUUGGAGAGAAGAAGAAAGAAGAGAAAAGAGGAGAGAAAUCAAGAAAUCGCCAAGAACAUUCAAGCUUUGCGAGUGGAAUUCAUCGGGGGUGAUCCCUACUAAGGUAUGUGAGAUUUAUUUCAUGUUGGGUUAGUUCACCCACACACUAACUUGUUUCAAUUUAGCAAAAUUGGAGUUGUUUGAAUGUUAAGAAAGUGAAGUUCUUGAAGAACAUUGUUGAAUUCUUGUGGGUUGAUUGUUGAAUGCCUAGUAUUGAUUUGAUUCGUGUUUCCGGGUUGUCUUUCGAGUUAAAUCUAUCAUGUAUUGAGGGUAUAAAUGAUCCUAAGUGUUUGGGGAAAGGACCACUGAAGUUUAGAGGGUUUAGAGAUGAAAAACGAAGGAGAAAAGUCGGGGAUUUUCUGGGCAAGGGCUUGGGGCGCUGCGCCUGCCAGAGCGCCACAAAAGUUCCUCUGAACUUUGGCCUCUGGCGCGUCGGGCCAGCCAGAGAGCCACAGGCAGCCCUCUGAAGUUUGAGGGCUGGCGCCCCGCGCCUCUCAGAGCGCCAGGGAUACCAGUUCUCCCCAUUCGUUCCUCACCUUCUCGUACUUGUUCCUAAGUGAUGUACCUAUGUUUUCUAGUUAAUUUCAACAAUCUAAAGUACAUCUAAACACCAUGAAAUCAUCCAUAAACAUGAGAUCAUGAACCUUGAAUCCAUAAUUCAAUUCAAGGAAAGUUAAGUUCAAAGUCAAAGAAGUUAAGAGUCAAGUCUAGAAGUUAAAAAGCAAGUCAAAGCAAAGUUUCUUAAAGUUUCCAAGGGUCUUUAACCAUGUUUUAUCGUCGUUUUAAGACCUAAGUUUUGAAGUUAAGCAAAGAGUAAAGCUAUGGUUUGAAGUUCUUUCUUCAAAGAGAUAUAUGGGGACUAUGUAUUCCCAAAGGAGUUUUAAAGAGAUGUUUUCACAUUUAAACGAGAUCGGAAACUGAGAUUUCCAAAGAUGCCUUUGGGCUAGUUUUCAGAAAAGAAUAAUGGCUUUCUAAAUGAAGCAAGCAGGUGAAAAUGAGAAUUCCAAGAUAGCCUUUGAGCUAAGUUUUGAGCACUAGUCUCAAAUCAGCAGAAAGAAAUAUGUUUUAAAAACAUAAGAGCCAUUACAUUUUUUGGAGUAGUAUUGAGCACCGAAUUGGGGGAGCGUUCAAAGAACCCACAACCCCCAUAGAACUAUGUAGCCACCAUGGGUAGAAGAGGUUCAUACCUUUUAGAUGAAUCCUUUUCAAAUUAGACUAGUGGAUCCAUUAGGCAGCUCAGGUCCUAUACUUUUGGCCGGGUAUAGGAUGCUCUGGCAGCGUGAGGUUGAUCGUUGUAUCAUCACUAUAGCUCUUAUGUGAUGGUUGUCGGUUAGAGAAACUCCCACAGCAGUUAUUGUAUUUUUAUAUACACCAGUUCAUUUGUAUUUCUACAUACAUCUCAGAUUUAUAGUAUCUUUGCAUUCAUACAGAGUUUAUAGCAUGUUUUAAAAUAGCUUUUCUUUAUAUUGCACUUGUUUUAAAUUGCUUUAUAUUGAAAUGAGUCAGUCAGGUUGAGUUGAGUUGAGCCAGGUAAGUUAUUCAGUUUCUUUUAGAUUUCCUUCUAGCCUAUGUUGCUUAGCAUUUCAACUCACAUACUCGUACAUUCAAUGUGCUGAUGUCAGUUGGCCUGCAUCGUCUUAUGAUGCAGAUUCAGGUAAUCAGGAUCAACAUCCAGCGCCUCGUUGAUCCAGUUGAGCAGCUCAGAGUCAGUGGUGAGCCUCCUUGUGUUCCGGAGGACUCUUUUUAUUCACUUUCAGUCUUUCAUUUAUUAGGAUGUUGUGGGGUUUGUCCCAACAUCCAUUUCAGUAUUUUAGAGGUUUCAUGGACAGUUAGAUAGUUAGUAGUUCAGUAGUCUUUACAUUAUUCAUUCAGUUGUUGUUUAAAGACUAAGUUGCCAUUUUGGCUAAAAUGUUAUUUCCUUAAGUUAUUGUUUAAACUUAUUAUGUUGAGAAAUUCUUCUGUUGAGUUCAGAAAGUCAGGCCAAGGGUUCGCUUGGGACUAGCGAUGAUCUUCGAGUGCCAGUCCCGCCUAGGGUGUAGGCUCGGGGAAUGACAUAUUUUUCAACAACUAUUAAUUUCGAUAAUACUUUGAAAAUUUGUGGACAUGAGUGCAACAAGUCCGUCAAUCGAAAGAAGGAAGCAUCAAGUGGUUAAGCUUUGAAUAUUGUAAUUAAUUGGACUUUAAAAUUUAGCCACUUAUUUUGAUGAUCCAUGAAUUCUCCAAAAGACUUCAGAAAAAUAAAUGUAAAUUUGUGUGAACUUAGUUGACUUUUCUAAUUUAUUGAAUUCAUCAUUAAUUAAAUUGGAUAAUUUGACUUGGAAAUUCAAUAGUAUAUACUAUGAGCUCAUUUCAACUUGUACCAUUUCUUUUGUAGCUAUUUUAGAAAAGGAUGGCUAUCUGUCAAAGUGUUUGUUAGGAUCAACUUGUAAGUUAAUACUUCUCCGUCUUAAAUUAUUUAUUGUAUUGUUUAUGCACUUUUUAAAAAGAUAAUAACUAUAAGAAAUUUUGAUUAUUUUACUUUUAUUUAUAUCUUGUGAUAUAGUCUUUCUAUUCAUUGAAUAAAACCCCAUAAUAAGUUUUAUGUGAUUAUCUUUUUUUUUAAAAAUACUAUCAAGAGUAAAAUAAGAAAAAAAUUAAUUAAUUUUAUCUUGAACUGCUAAAAUUCUGAAUGAUUUGAGACAAUUACUUUUGAAAAUCAAUAACAAUAACAUACCUAAUGUAAUCCUACAAGUGAGAUUUGAAAAAGACAAGAUAGAACAUGAUAUACAUAAUUAGUCUAUCUUUAAGGGAUAGAGAAUGUAACACCCCAUAUUCUACGUGUACUAGUUCUAUUUAUAUGACGCUUAUAAAUUUUCGUGUGGUAUAGUUAUGGACUCGGUUUCCUAUGCAACUAGUGACAAUAGAAUAGGUUUAAAGUAAACUGUCCAUAGAUUUUGAUGCGACCCGAUUAAGUUGACGUCGAUGUAAGUAUUUAAACUUGAGAUCAUAAGGUGGUAUUUGAGUCUAAAGUUUAAAUUGACAUAGUGUAUAUAAGUUUUAAGUUAAAUUAAAGGUAUUAAGGUCGAUAAAUGGAAUAAGAUAUUGAGGUGCUUGAUUGACAGGUGCUGAUUGACUACACUAAUCUAGUAGGUACAUCACCUACUUUGACUUAUUGACUAGCCCAAGGGACCAAGUAGGUGCAUCAACUACUAAGACUCUUUCGAUCAUGUUAUUGGGCCAAGUGCACUACCACCUACUUGCAUUAAUCUGGCCCAAGUUGAUUAGAAGAAUAAGGGGAAAAUGGACAGCCAAGGCCCAAUCUUUCCAACCCACAAGAAAUAAUUUGAAUGGAAAAGUAGGUGCAUCACCUACUUAAAUGUGUGGCCUAAAUUAAAGACACAUGUUGGCUGAAAAUGAAGUACAAGAAAGGUGGCAAAAGCCCCAAUGUUCUUAAGUCCAAAAAGGCCCAAGUGAAAAGUCCAAGUAGGUGGGUCACCUAUUUGACAAAUUAUGGCCCAAAAUGAGUAAGAAAGUCGGCCAAAGCAGGUCCCUUUAAAAGGGAUAGAUAUCAGCUUUUACCAACCAUUUUUACUUUGACAAAAGAAUCUGAUUUCUAGAGCAUUCUCUCUUCUCUCUCUUAGCUUCAUACAACAGCCAUUAAAUACCAUUAGGGUUCUUGAACAUGAGGGAGUUCAAGCUAUUGGAAUGUAUAAUUUAAGGCAACAUUUUACCUUGAAGAAUCCAAGUCUUAGCAAGUGGUAGUUCUGUCCAGCAAGGUAAGCUACUGCAAUUUUCUCCCUCUUGUGCUUGAGUAAAUUAGGACACUUGGUAUGUGUUAGUGAGUUGGAAAUUGUUACUUUUACAUGGUGUAAUAUUUGGGAGGUUGUUCUGGUGAUUAGUGCAUGUUGGGACAUCUAUGGAGGGGAGUCCUCUUUAAAUUCAGUUAUGAGCUUGUUUGAGCACUUUAAAAGUAAUGUUAGCUCUUCAAGUGUUGGUGAUCAGAAACCAUGAUCAUAUUGCUUCUGUUACAUUAUUAUGUUUAAGGAUUGCUUUAUGUAUGUUAUGAUAAGGGAUGUGAAUGGAUGUGCGGGAAAGUUAUGGAGACGUUAAAUGACUUAAAUAUUGCAGGGAGUUUUGGGGAGGACCUGAUACGAAGGUUGUACGGUAUAUAGACACGAUUAAAGGGAAAGGGAAGGAAAGAAAACACUGGCUAGAUAAAUUGCAUGCUUACUGCUUGGUUACUAUUUGGGUGAGAUCAAGUAGCUCAAAUUGAUUGAUUAGCUACUAAUACUAGUCUUACAACUUAUUUUAAUUGUAGAUUAGUAACCUAAAGAGAAGGAGCUUAAGUCAUACGUAUUGAAUUGUAUAGCAAGGUAUGUAAGGAUAUUCGAUUUCCAAUUUCUUCUACAUGAAUCCAAUACUUGUAAUACAAAGUAAGCUCUCUAAGUGCCCUUGGUAGUGACUGAUCCAUAGUUGCAGUUCCUACUCCCUAGAGCAGUAAAGUGAGUACUCUAAUAUGAGAUUGUUACUAAAUGUACGUGCUUACUCUACCAAGUAUUAGCAUGCAAGGUUUAAACUACUUUCUCUAUUGUACAUUUUAUAUGUACUUACUUGGAAUAUGUAUCCGUCCUAAAGUUAAAUCUACCCACGUUCUCCCUUGGUUUCACAUUCACGUAUACCUUGUAUUUGAUAUUAGUUAGUGAGUAUUUGACUAUCAUAUAGAGUUCAAAUCUCUUGGCUGAAUGUUAAAUGUCUUCACUUGAUAUGUGCUUCAAUUUGAAAUGUCAAAAUGCUUACUGAGUCAUAUAAGCUCUUAAGUAUUACACGUUCAUGUCUACAUUUGCUUCCCAUGUCAUUGUUAUUAUCGUAACUCCAUAUUCAUAUGUCUUCUACUACUGGUCCAUAGUUCCAAAUCUCAACAAUGAUUAUGACCACCAAAACAACAAUCUCAAAAGAGUUAUGGACAUCAAAACAAUAAUCUCAAAGAUUAAAGAGCCUAAGUGAAGCAAUAUGUAUAAUUAUGGGUGGCAGCCCAGGGGCAAAUGCCUAGCAUGGGUCGAUCCCAAUUGGUAUAGAAUGGUGGCAGCUCAGGGGCGAAAGCCUAGCAUGAGACGAUCCCAAUUGGUAUAAGAAGGUGGCAGCUCAGGGGUAAAAGUCUAGCAUGGGCCGAUCCCAAUUUGUGAAAUUAUGAGGACAGCAUCCCAGGGGUUAAAAUGUCUAGCAUGGGUCAUCCUCUUCUACCGCUGAUCAGCUGGUCAUUUGUAUCAUAUGUCUUAUAAUUAUUAUAAUGCAAAGAAAAGUAAAGAAAAUAAUGUAACAUACACGAUUCCACAAGUAUAAGCAAAGGUGGUAUGUAAUCCUUAUCUAUUGGUAUUUGAUUUCACUUGAGCUCUCAUUUUACAUAUGGUUUUAUUAUGCCUUACAUAUUCAGUACAUUCUUUCGUACUGACGUCCCUUAUUGGGGACGCUGCAUUUCAUGCUGCAGGUACAAGUACUCAACUAGUAGAUCUCCCCAAUAGAAGCACAAGAUACUCAAUGGUUGUUGGUGAGCUCCAGGUUGAUUCGGGACUUUGCCGAGUCUUUACUAUGGUUAUUUCAUAGUGGUACAAUCAUGGAUUCCAGUAGAGGCUUUGUAGACAUUGUAAAGCUAUCAUCUGAAUUCAUAGUUUCACUUGUCACAUGUAUCGGUUCAGCUAGUCAACAUGUGUUGUAUAUGAAGCUUCUCAUUAGUAAAUAUAUCUGCAUAGUAGUAGUUUACUUUCUCAUCAUAGGUUACUUGUAAAGCAUGUGUUCAUAUGGUACUUGUCCGCCUCACCUAGGGUUAGGGUGUGACAGAGAAGUUAUUCUAAUAGGACUCGAGACAAAUUUGUAAUAAGACAACAAAAUAAUAAGAUACAAAUCAAAUACAACAACCUAUAAUAAUACACAUCAAAAUUCAUCAUUCAAGAAAAAUAAUGUUUGUAUUUUUUUUAUAUAUAUAUAUAAGUGUAUUUUUCUCAAUAUUCCGAGAGAAAAAAUGCACACAAUAUUAUUGACCCUUGUUAAAUUCCUCGAGCUAAACUAUAUACAGAUACAUUUCUCUGUAACAAAUCACUCUCUAUAAUGAUAUUUUAUUAUAAAUUAAUUAUUUUUUAUAAUAACAUUUUAUUAUAAUAAUAGAAAUAUUACAUCGUUAAAAAAGUUUGAUUACCACCCAAAUGUAUUGCCUAAUGAUCAAUAAAGUGAGUUAAGCAUCAUGAGGUCUCAUCAAAUUAAAUAUCAGCAGAAACAAAAUAUUAGGUGAUUUGUUUUCAUAUGUUCUAACUUUGGUGAACAAAAUUACUUCAUACAUGUUGUUGAUGGAAGAUAAUAUGUACUCUAUAAAAUUAACCGAGAUACGUGCAAACUGGCUUGAAUACCACGAUUAUAAUAAAAUAAAAACAGUUUGAUUGGAAUGCUUCAAUUAGUACCUAUUCUUAACUGCCAACUAGUGCAACAUGAAAUAAAAAUAACCUAUUGAAAAUUUCUUUGAAAUUUUGAGUACUCAAAAGAAAAUUUCAAUUAAAACCUGGUCUUAACUACCAACUGCAACAUGAACUAUAAAUAACCUGUUGAAAAUUUCAUGCAAAUUUUCACUACUCAAAAAAAAAAAAAAAAAAAAAAUAAUACGUAAGAAAUAAAUAAAAAGACAAGAGAAUUGGUAAAGGUCAAAAUGGUGAAGAACUAGUAACUUUGUGCAAGUCUUUUAUUUUUAUUAAAAUUCAUUAAAUAUUUAUAGUUAUAUAAUUGUGAACUAAGAUACUAUUGUGUAUUAACUUAGAGAGUAGAGACUACUGUACGAAUAUAUAAAUUUCAAAUUUUUAAUCCUCCUAAUAUAAAUCGCAGUUGAUAAGGAAAAUUAAACAAUAACCAAAACCCAUCAUCAGCAUUAUUUUAUAUUAAAAAUAUAUUUUACAUGGUGUCUGCAUUGGAGCCCCGAUUAAAUAUGUAUCAUGCAUUGCAGGUUCCAUUUUGGGGGUGGAGCUUUCAACAUAAUUUUUUUCAUACCCAAGGCUUGAACCCGAGACAUCAAAUUAAUAGUGGAGCAGUUCCACCAUUAUACCUAAUAUUAAUUUUAUUUCAAAUGAUUUAACCUUAAAAGUUUUCUUUAUACUCAUCAGAGAUAACAUUAUUUUUAUAAUAACAUAAAUUAAAUAUAUAAUAUAUUUUAAAAUUUCAUGUUUAAUCAAAUUAAUAACGUGAAUAAAAAAUUAAAAGCAAGUCUUGUCGGCAGUCUUUAUUUACACUAAUAAAACACGAGUUUAUAAUACAUAAAAUAAAACGACUCCUAAUAUAAAUCGCAGUUGAUAAGGAAAAUUAAACAAUAACCAAAACCCAUCAUCAGCAUUAUUUUAUAUUAAAAAUAUAUUUUACAUGGUGUCUGCAUUGGAGCCCCGAUUAAAUAUGUAUCAUGCAUUGCAGGUUCCAUUUUGGGGGUGGAGCUUUCAACAUAAUUUUUUUCAUACCCAAGGCUUGAACCCGAGACAUCAAAUUAAUAGUGGAGCAGUUCCACCAUUAUACCUAAUAUUAAUUUUAUUUCAAAUGAUUUAACCUUAAAAGUUUUCUUUAUACUCAUCAGAGAUAACAUUAUUUUUAUAAUAACAUAAAUUAAAUAUAUAAUAUAUUUUAAAAUUUCAUGUUUAAUCAAAUUAAUAACGUGAAUAAAAGAUUAAAAGUAAGUUGUCCUGUCGGCAGUCUUUAUUUACACUAAUAAAACACGAGUUUAUUAUACAAAAAAUAAAACUAAAUAUAUAUUAUUUUUAUUUUGUACUUUAUAGAUAGAAAAAGUCAAAAUGUGUUCACUUUUUUUCCUACGUAUACAUGUAACUUGGCCUAUUUAAUUUGCCGUGUUUAAUUUUGACUUUAAAAACCUCUUUCCAAUAUUCUCAACUUAUAUAUAUAUAACCAUAAAAGCUUAAACUUCUUCAUCUACUCAAAAUAACAAAAAAAUAUUCUCUUGUUCUUAAUUUCUCCUUCUUUGAUUAAUCUUGAAAUUUUCCAAAAUAUACAAAUGGAAGAAAUCCAAGUACCUCCUUAUUUUAUUUGCCCGAUUUCUCUAGAGAUGAUGAAAGAUCCAGUCACGAUCUCGACUGGAAUAACAUAUGAUCGAGAAAACAUCGAAAAAUGGAUAUUCUCGGCAAAGAACAACACUUGUCCGGCUACGAAGCAGUCUCUUACAUGCAUAGAGUUGACCCCAAAUGUCACUCUUCGGAGAUUUAUCCAAUCGUGGUGUACUAUCAAUGCGUCCCAUGGUAUUGAAAGGUUCCCUACACCAAAACCUCCGGUUAGCAAACCACAAAUAAUAAAGCUCCUAAAAGAAGCAAAAUCGCCUAAGAUGCAAAUGAAAUCUCUCAAGAGACUCAGAUCCAUAGCUUCUGAGAAUGAUGCUAACAAACGUUGCAUGGAAUCCGCGGGGGCAACAGAGUUCUUAGCUUUUAUUAUUAAUAAUUCGAAUGAAGUGUUUGAAGAAGAGGGUUUCAUGAGUACUAAAGACGAAGCGCUUAGCAUCCUCUAUCAACUCAAAUUAUCCGAACAAGGGUUGAGGUCACUCAUCAUUAGUGGCAAUGGAGAAUUCAUUGAAUCUUUGACACGUGUCAUGCAACAUGGGAGCUAUGAGUCUAGGGCUUACGCGGUUAUGCUAAUGAAAGACAUGUUCGAAGUAUCCACACCAAAUCUACUUUUGAGUUUGAAGCAAGAAUUCUUCAUACAAGUGGUUCAAGUCUUAAGGGAUGAGAUCUCUCAAAAGGCUACAAAAGCAUCAUUGCAAGUGCUAGUGAACACGUGUCCAUUUGGGAGGAACAAAGUGAAAGCAGCAGAGGCAGGAGCAAUUAGGGUUUUGGUAGAUCUUCUGCUCGAUUCAUCUGAAAAAAGG
rnacentral:lncRNA from 1 species